rnacentral:rRNA from 1 species
UACGUAGGUGACAAGCGUUGUCCGGAUUUACUGGGCGUAAAGAGCGCGCAGGCGGUCGUUCAAGUCGAGUGUGAAAGCCCCCGGCUCAACUGGGGAGGGUCACUCGAUACUGAUCGACUUGAAGGCAGGAGAGGGAAGCGGAAUUCCCGGUGUAGUGGUGAAAUUCGUAGAUAUUGGGAAGAACACCGGUGGCGAAGGCGGCCAUCUGGACCGGUUCUGACGCUGAGGCGCGAAAGCGUGGGGAGCAAACAGG